rnacentral:rRNA from 1 species
UACAGAGGGUGCAAGCGUUGUUCGGAAUUAUUGGGCGUAAAGCGCGUGUAGGCGGCUUUGCAAGUCGGGUGUGAAAGCCCUCAGCUCAACUGAGGAAGUGCGCCCGAAACUGCAGAGCUUGAGUACCGGAGAGGAUGGCGGAAUUCCCCAAGUAGAGGUGAAAUUCGUAGAUAUCGGGAGGAACACCGGUGGCGAAGGCGGGUCUCUGGGCAAUUCCUGACGCUGAGGCGCGAAAGCGUGGGGAGCAAACGGG